rnacentral:rRNA from 1 species
GGCAUGCUUAACACAUGCAAGUCGAACGGUAACAGCGGGAGCCUGCUCCCGGCUGACGAGUGGCGGACGGGUGAGUAACGCAUA